rnacentral:rRNA from 1 species
UACGGAGGGUGCGAGCGUUGUCCGGAAUCAUUGGGCGUAAAGGGCGCGUAGGUGGCCCGCCAAGCGUGCGGUGAAAGCUCGGGGCUCAACCCCGAGUCGGCCGUGCGAACUGGUGGGCUCGAGCACUGUAGAGGCAGGCGGAAUUCCGGGUGUAGCGGUGGAAUGCGUAGAGAUCCGGAAGAACACCGGUGGCGAAGGCGGCCUGCUGGGCAGUAGCUGACACUGAGGCGCGACAGCGUGGGGAGCAAACAGGG